UGCAAGUCGAGGGGCAGCAUGACUGUAGCAAUACAGUUGAUGGCGACCGGCAAACGGGUGCGGAACACGUACGCAACCUACCCAAAACUGGGGAAUAGCCCGGGGAAACCCGGAUUAAUACCUCGUAACAUAAUUGAAUGGCAUCAUUUAAUUAUUAUAGCUCCGGCGGUUCUGGAUGGGCGUGCGCCUGAUUAGAUAGUUGGCGGGGUAACGGCCCACCAAGUCUGCGAUCAGUAACUGGUGUGAGAGCACGACCAGUCACACGGGCACUGAGACACGGGCCCGACUCCUACGGGAGGCAGCAGUAAGGAAUAUUGGUCAAUGGACGCAAGUCUGAACCAGCCAUGCCGCGUGAAGGAUGAAGGUCCUCUGGAUUGUAAACUUCUUUUAUAUGGGACGAAACCUCUUUUUCUAAAGAGACUGACGGUACCAUAAGAAUAAGCACCGGCUAACUCCGUGCCAGCAGCCGCGGUAAUACGGAGGGUGCAAGCGUUAUCCGGAUUCACUGGGUUUAAAGGGUGCGUAGGAGGGCAGGUAAGUCAGUGGUGAAAUCUCCAAGCUUAACUUGGAAACUGCCGUUGAUACUAUCUGUCUUGAAUAUUGUGGAGGUGAGCGGAAUAUGUCAUGUAGCGGUGAAAUGCUUAGAUAUGACAUAGAACACCAAUUGCGAAGGCAGCUCGCUACACAUAUAUUGACUCUGAGGCACGAAAGCGUGGGGAUCAAACAGGAUUAGAUACCCUGGUAGUCCACGCCCUAAACGAUGGAUACUCGACAUAUGCGAUAAACUGUGUGUGUCUGAGCGAAAGCAUUAAGUAUCCCACCUGGGAAGUACGACCGCAAGGUUGAAACUCAAAGGAAUUGGCGGGGGUCCGCACAAGCGGUGGGAGCAUGUGGUUUAA
rnacentral:rRNA from 1 species